rnacentral:sRNA from 1 species
UUGACUCUCAAAUGAAAACAAUUAUCAUCAACUCAGCUGGUCGCGAGACCGGCCGAUAAACGAGAGAUGGCAGUCGUUUCUCCGGUUUAUCUCCUCAUCAGGCUAAUCACGGUUUCGACCCGGCACGCGCCGGGUCUUUUUUUG